UAACCUGGUUGAUCCUGCCAGUAGCAUAUGCUUGUCUCAAAGAUUAAGCCAUGCAUGUCUAAGUAUAAAUAGUAUACAGUGAAACUGCGAAUGGCUCAUUAAAACAGUUAUAGUUUAUUUGAUAAUGGAAAGCUAUAUGGAUAACCGUGGUAAUUCUAGAGCUAAUACAUGCUGUCAAACCCGACUUUCGAGGAAAGGUUGUAUUUAUUAGAUAUUUAGCCAAUGGUCCCUUCACGGGGAUUAUUGUGGUGAGUCAUAGUAACUGAUCGAAUCUCCUUAUGUGAGAUAAAUCAUUCAAGUUUCUGCUCUAUCAGCUUGAUGGUAGUGUAUUGGACUACCAUGGCAGUCACGGGUAACGGAGAAUUAGGGUUCGAUUCCGGAGAGGGAGCCUGAGAAACGGCUACCACAUCUAAGGAAGGCAGCAGGCGCGUAAAUUACCCAAUCCUGAUUCAGGGAGGUAGUGACAAGAAAUAACAACCUGGGGAUCUCAUGAUCUUACGGGAUUGCAAUGAGAACAAUUUAAAUCUCUUAACGAGUAACAAUUGGAGGGCAAGUCUGGUGCCAGCAGCCGCGGUAAUUCCAGCUCCAAUAGCGUAUAUUAAAGUUGUUGCAGUUAAAAAGCUCGUAGUUGAACUUCUGGCGGCGUGCCGGUAAGGCUUCGGUCUGCCGGAUUAGCGUCGUCAUCCGUCUGCAAACCUCGUUCGACCUUCACUGGUUCGGCGAGUUGAGUAGACAAUUUACUUUGAAAAAAUUAGAGUGUUUCAAGCAGGCAAUAGCCCGAAUACUUUAGCAUGGAAUAAUGGAAUAGGACUCUGUCCAUAUAUUUAAAUUGGCUGUGGGGCAUGAGUAAUGAUUAAUAGGGACAGUUGGGGGCAUUAGUAUUUAAUUGUCAGAGGUGAAAUUCUGGAUUAUUAAGACUAACUAUGCGAAAGCAUUGCCAAGGAUGUUUUCAUUAUCAAGAACGAAAGUUAGGGGAUCAAAGACGAUCAGAUACCGUCCUAGUCUUAACUAUAAACGAUGCCGACUCGGGAUUGGAAGGUGUACUAUAAAACCCUUUCAGCACCGUAAUGAGAAAUCAAAGUCUUUGGGUUCUGGGGGGAGUAUGGUCGCAAGGCUGAAACUUAAAGGAAUUGACGGAAGGACACCACCAGGAGUGGGGCCUGCGGCUUAAUUUGACUCAACGCGGGAAAACUUACCAGGUUAAAACAUGAGUGUGAUUGACAGAUUGAGAGCUCUUUCUUGAUUGUAUGGGUGGUGGUGCAUGGCCGUUCUUAGUUGGUGGAGUGAUUUGUCUGGUUAAUUCCGUUAACGAACGAGACCUUAACCUGCUAACUAGUUCCUUCGUGAUUUAACGGGGGAUACUUCUUAGAGGGACUAUGGGAUUCAAGCCCAUGGAAGUUUGAGGCAAUAACAGGUCUGUGAUGCCCCUAGAUAUCCUGGGCCGCACGCGUUCCACAAUGACUUGUUCAGAAAGUACCAUCCUGGCUCGGAAGAGUACGGGUAACCUUUUCAAUGCAAGUCGUAUUAGGGAUCGAUCUUUGGAAUUAUAGAUCUUGAACGAGGAAUUCCUAGUAAGUGCAAGUCAUCAGCUUGUACUGAUUACGUCCCUGCCCUUUGUACACACCGCCCGUCGCUCCUACCGAUUUCGAGUGAUAAGGUGAACCUUCUGGACUGCUUUCGAGCGGGAAGUUAAGUAAACCUUAUUACUUAGAGGAAGGAGAAGUCGUAACAAGGUUUCCGUAGGUGAACCUGCAGAUGGAUC
rnacentral:rRNA from 1 species